CGGCGGACGGGUGAGUAACGCGUGGGUAACCUGCCUUACACUGGGGGAUAACAGUUAGAAAUGACUGCUAAUACCGCAUAAGCGCACAGGGCUGCAUGGCCUGGUGUGAAAAACUCCGGUGGUGUAAGAUGGACCCGCGUCUGAUUAGGUAGUUGGUGGGGUAAUGGCCCACCAAGCCGACGAUCAGUAGCCGACCUGAGAGGGUGACCGGCCACAUUGGGACUGAGACACGGCCCAA
rnacentral:rRNA from 1 species